rnacentral:rRNA from 1 species
CCUACGGGUGGCUGCAGUGAGGACUAUUGGUCAAUGGGCGUAAGCCUGAACCAGCCAAGUAGCGUGAGGGAUGACGGCUCUAUGGAUCAUAAACCUCUUUUAUAAUGGAAUAACGUGUGGUACGUGUCCUAUUUUGUAUUUACCUUAUGAAUAAGGAUCGGCUAACUCCUUGCCAGCAGCCGCGGUAAUACGGAGGAUCCGAGCGUUAUCCGGAUUUAUUGGGUUUAAAGGGUGCGUAGGCGGCCUUUUAAGUCAGCUGUGAAAGUUUGUGGCUCAACCAUAGAAUUGCAGUUGAAACUGGGAGGCUUGAGUAGGUUUGAGGCAGGCGGAAUGCGUGGUGUAGCGGUGAAAUGCUUAGAUAUCACGAAGAACCCCGAUUGCGAAGGCAGCCUGCCAAGCCAUGACUGACGCUGAUGCACGAAAGCGUGGGGAUCAAACAGGAUUAGAUACCCGUGUAGUC